CGGAGCGUAGUUCAGAUGGCCAGAACGCAGCGUUUGGGACGCUGAGGUCGGCGGUUCAAGUCCGCCCGCUCCGACCA
rnacentral:tRNA from 2 species